UUUUAUAUUGUUUAAAAAGAAGGGGGAAGGAUUUGGUGAUUAAUGCUACUCAUCACUCUCUUGCUGCUUUCCCCCCACUCCAUCUUUGUGUCCACUGUUGUCAUGUAUGCCUCCCUUUAUCUGCCCAUCAACUUCCAUACACUGAUCUCUUUGCCCGUGGCAUUUUACAGGAAAACAGUACUUUUGGCGCACACAGACCUCAAUACCCUGUGAAACUACUCGGCAAAUGGUUUCGCUCAGGUUGAGGUCACAUAAUGAAUAGCAUGAUAAAUGAUUUCCAUUACAGCUUUAAUGGAGUUUGGACUCUAUUGUCCCAUAGUGUUACUCUUACACCUCAUUUUCUAUGGCCCUCCCCCAUCUCAGUUUUUCCUAAUUAGGAGACCCACAGGAGGCAAGGAGGCACACGCCACAGCCCACACCAAGUGCUCUAGAGACCACAACCUACUGGAGGAUCAAAGGAAGUGUCCUCUGUGGACUCUGAUGAUCAGUCUUAAUCAGCACUUCAAAUCAGCCAGUAAACGGCCAGUCUUACCACAGGGAAGAGUGAAAGCAAACCUGCCACCUGCCAGGUUAUUUAACUUUGGUAUACGGGCUAGUGAGCCAUGGCAAGCACAUUAGGGAGAGAAUCGUGUGUGACAGACCCCCUUUUUUUAAUCCUAUGUAAUUUAGAGAAGCCUCUAUGGAUGAGCUAACAGAUAUGUCAACAGAAUUUAUGUAGUAGGGGUACUCAAUCAUGUUGGUAACAGAAUACCAUACAUGUGACAUAUACGAGUGAGAAAGACAAAGCUGAAAACCUCUGUUGACUAGAACUGCCAGAUAUACCACAUCUGAAAUCUUGCUUAUGUUGGUGAGUUCACAAGAACUAAACUCGGUUCCUGCACUCCAACUUGUUAUGUAAUAGCUUGUCUUCUAUCUCUUCCAGUAUAUUGGAUCAACGGGUAGGCCAUUGGGUCAAGCUGUUGGACGCGUUCCAUUUGAACAGACUGGCGUGUAUAGUCUUUGAAAUAGGUCUCAUUGGCCAUACAAUGUAAAUGCUGUCCAGAGAAAGUGUGAGAUCACACCUCCUCAGUUGAAUUUACAGCUAUCAUUCCCGUAGAAAGGAAUCAAUUGUUCCACAAUCCAUCACCGAUUGCCACUGUGUUCCUCCACUUACUCCAAAUCUGUAUUUCCGUCGCUGAACCGGUAGAGCAGUAGUAGGUUAAUACCAAGGUGCUGAGUUCAAUGCGAAAAUCGCUUCAGAUAAACAUGUCUGCUAAAUGACUGAAUGUGAAUGUAACGCUGCCCAGAUAAGCUUUUCUAAUCCCAGUUGAUCCCUGUCUGGGCUUUUUUUGAAUACAAAGAGUGUGCAUGAGAGACUGGACUUACCCAAUUCACACCACCAGCAGCAAUGCUGUGUUCUUACUCUUUUGUGUCAAACUGUGGAAAAGGAUGAAGGGCAUAUCAGAUUUCAGCCACUGAAACUGAGACUUGGAUUGUGCCGCAUGACGGUGUGAGCUGUCCAAAGGACGUGUGCAAAUGAUGGGCACAGGCAGCAAAGCGGGAUGAGAUCGACAUCUGCACUCUGACAGGACGCAGAUGGAGGCUGGUUGGCAGGAGCAUGCGAUGAAGGAGGGAGAUAAGUGGCUGUGGCCGUGGUGGAGGAAGUACCAGUCCAGAUAUUAUUUUCAACAAUACAUACAACCUGGGUAUGAAUUGCAGUGGAUUAAAGAAAAUAGUCAUACAACGGUCUAAAUGGAGAUUUAAAGGACCAAGCACCUGCGGAUCAAAGUUGCUACUCUUCAGAGAAGGUUCUGAUGUUGUUUCAUUAUCUCGAUCUGAUGGUGAUGAAUACUGGUAUGUGCUGACACAAGGAGCCCUUCACCCAGGGAACCUCACUGAAGGGCUUCUGCUGUGCUCACUAGCCAACACAUUCAU